UGGCCUUCUAGACUCGGAAACUUCUCUGAUCCCUUUGAUUCCCCGGCAGCUUUCUUGAAUAAACCUCGUACACUGCUCUUCAUCACUCCAUUUCUUAACAAAUUCCUCGACAUCUUUAGUGGCUGCAGCAUGCGAGGUCUUUGCUUAGAAGAAGACACGACACGACGACACUUGGUUGCAUGGCUGAAACGUGGUGACAAUUCAUGAAUUUAGUCAAAAGCUUCCGGGUCGGCCCAUUCAAAGAGUAUUUUAGAAAUGUGGGCCUUUUCUAUUGUCUCCAUCGACUGACAUAUUGGGCCUUCAUGCCUACAUCAAGGCCCCAUAGCAUUAAAAAUAAUAGUUAUACCAUGGACGCUGACCAUCUUGCAAUGUGGGUCCAUCACAGUUUAUAUCUUGAAUAUAUUCAAUAUGUAAAUUGUGAACAUUUAGUUCUGAACAUUCAGUAUAUAAAUUGUGAACAUUAUUAAUAGUGUGUUUUGAACUAGAGUCCACCUUACAAAA